rnacentral:rRNA from 1 species
GACGAACGCUGGCGGCGUGCUUAACACAUGCAAGUCGAACGGUGAAGCGCCUUCCUUUUUGGUGGGUGUGGAUGAGUGGCGAACGGGUGAGUAACACGUGAGUAACCUGCCCCCUUCUUCUGGAUAACCGCAUGAAAGGGUGGCUAAUACGGGAUAUUCUGGGUCUGUCGCAUGAUGGGUCUGGGAAAGAUAUUGUUUCGGUGGGGGAUGGGCUCGCGGCCUAUCAGCUUGUUGGUGGGGUGAUGGCCUACCAAGGCGGUGACGGGUAGCCGGCCUGAGAGGGUGGACGGUCACACUGGGACUGAGACACGGCCCAGACUCCUACGGGAGGCAGCAGUGGGGAAUAUUGCACAAUGGGCGCAAGCCUGAUGCAGCGACGCCGCGUGAGGGAUGGAGGCCUUCGGGUUGUGAACCUCUUUCGCCAGUGAAGCAGGCCUGCCUCGUUUGUGGGUGGGUUGACGGUAGCUGGAUAAGAAGCGCCGGCUAACUACGUG